rfam:Myotis davidii contig2503, whole genome shotgun sequence.
GGCAGUUCUCAGGUGAUGCACUCCAGAAAUGGGCUUCCUUCUCUCUGGUUCUGGGUGCAUCACCAGAGAACUGCA